UUAAAAAUUCACCCUAUAUUGUCAAUAUCUUUGAUUUAAAAAUCAUGUAAUUUUUAAAAAAAAAUGUAAAAGUUCAGUUGCAUUUUUUUUUUUUUUUUUGUGAUUUUAGCAAUAUGGAAGAGGAAAGUACUGAACUCUGCUUUGUGGAAUCACUUCAAAGUUAAUGAUAGUGAAAAAUUUCUCCCCUGAAGGAUAUUUGAACAACUGUAAUCUUCUAUGGUAAAACCACCAAAAAGCCAAAUAUACAGUUAUCAGUUAUAAGUAGAGGCAAAAGCAAUGGGCCAAAAUGCUGCAAGACCAAGAGCAUUUUGACUGACAUAUGCAUAGACUUUACUAUCAUUUGAUUAAGUUUCCCAGAUUCAUUGAGUAUAUCUUUCACUUGAAAGUGAUGGUUCAUUGUUUUGCAGGAAUGUAAGAGCAUACAUCAGAGAAGGCAAAUGAAAGCACAGUUCAAUUAUCUAGAUCAUUUUAUUUAUUUAAAUAAUUGUUCUAUUCUCCAGCCACCCUGAGUGAAAAUUUGAUAAAAUAAAGGUAGGGUCUUCAAAUUCUUUUACUUCUGAAUGAAAAUCUUCUAUCGGUGUUAAUUUGGUAGGUAUCUGAGGUUAAAACGGUGUUGAUUUUCUUACUUAUACAUGUUUGCAACAUAUAAUGUUUGCGUUCCUUGUGUGUAGAUUUAAUUAACAUAACUCUUAUGAAUAUGCCAGCCCUAGAGACCUGGUGUGUGUGUCACUUUUCAAGGUAGAGGUGGUAAGAAUUUGUAGAUCUAGAUUUCUCAGGGCAUGGAUCCCCUUACUUGGAUUGAUUUUUCCCUCCUAAUUAAGGCUAUCAAAUAAAAAAAAUUCUCUAUACUGUUGUACUGCUAUUAGGGAGAUUUGUUUGCACAGAGGUUUUUGUAGCAUAUUUCUGUUAACUUUAAAUUCUGUUUAAUGUUUUAAGUACUAAAUUUUACAUUUAUAGCACUUUAUACAGAAGAUAUUAGAGACUCUAAAGAGUUAGGCACAUACAUUUUAUAACUAGAGGCCUCACCAUUCACCUUGUGGAGUUAGUGAUACAGAAUAUGAAAUAAAAUGCCAUAACUAUGGAGUGGAAUAUCAAUUGCAGAUGAUGUUCUCCUCUGAAAUAUAUGGAGACAAUUAUGCUUUGGGGCUUUUGGUUCAGACUAUUCUAUGUUUAAUAAGUGAACUAGUCUGUUUUCCCCAAAUGCUUUUGGAAUUCUCUUUAAGGAAAAACAUGAAAUUAAGGUAUAAGAGGUGUAAGGACCCUGGAUGAAACCCAGAGGUCAAAUAUUUAAAACUGAAUAUUUGAUAAUUUAAAAAUAGUUCAAUAAAUUCCAUUUAUAAUGCACCCCCUGAGAUGUGGCUUAUUCCAUGUAUUUGAAUAUUUCAGAUUAUUUCCUGAGCAGGGACAUUGGCUUUCAGUUCGAAGGGUGAAUAUGCAUUUGAGUCAUGCUGUGACUUUGAAGAAUGUACCUCAUAUUUUCAGGGCUUCCUUUAUAUAUUUUUAGAACUUUAGAAAGAUGGUAAUAUGCAUAUUAUGCUGAUGACUUGAACAAUAUUCAGAACACAAAGCACAAUGUUAAAUCUUCUACCUCUGCUCUUCUCUCCUAUGUUAUUUCCUAGAGGUACCUCGCAUCUCUUUCCUGUGAACUCAUAUGCACUCCCAUGCAUGGCCCUGUGUGCAUACUUGUGUGAGACUUGAGAAGUCUCACAAUCUUCCACUGUAAGCUGCAUACCCAGGGAAGGUCCUCAACAGAUCGGAUGAUGUCAGCAACACUGAAGACAGCAAUUCUAUCUAUUCAGUCUGCAGAUUCAAAGCAAAUUUCUUCUGGAAACAUUCUCACAGAUUACCCCAAAAUAAUGGUUAUAUAGCUACCUAAGCAUUCUGUGACCCAACCAAGCUGGCAUACACAAUUGUACCUCAAAAUGGAUAUUUUAAAAAUAUUUUUUAUUUAUUAUUUUGCUCUCUAAAAAUGAUAUGCAGUAGUUUGGGCACUGAGAAUAUAUGAGGAUAUUUCUGCUUUUUGGCUUGCUUGAGGAGGCCUUUUACAUUCUAAAAGUAUAAAAGUGUCCCACUAUAUUUUCUUCUAGCACAUGCACAUACAAAUUUAGUUCUUUAAUCCAGCUGUAGUUUGUACAUGUUGUACAUGUACAAGUUGUAAUCCUACUUGAGAGAUUAGGAUCUAAAUUUAGUUUUUCCUAUUGUUGACUUUGUUCAAUUACGCUACUUAUGCCAUUUAUUGAACAAUCUAUUUCCCUUUUUAGUUUAAAAAAGCAACUUGUAUAAAUUUUAUGGUUAAAAUUUCCAAGUAUGUGUAGCAUGCUUCCGAACUGUGGUAGGCUUGGUUUUAAACUCUGGUGAUACUGAUUUGUCUUUAUUGGUACUUUAGUAUGUUUCGUCAUCUGAGAAAAUAGCAUGUAAAUGUUCAGUUAACUUAGAUUUUUUCCAAAUUUAAUUCUUACUUCAUAUCUAAAUUCUUAAAAUACUACUUUUUUCAAUAUGAUACAGUUUUCUAGCUUUCCAAACAUGAAUUUCAGCUUUAUUUAACUGUCACCAGCACUCGAAACUCUUUCAUAUUUUCCUACUUGUUAAGAUGGUAUUUCUGGGCAUAAGUUGCUUCUUUUUUUCCCUCUGGCAAACUCUUUUAUUGAUGAGGACAUUAAUUAAUUAUUGUGUAGGUGGUAAGUUACAGAAAGGAACACUUUUAAUAAAAUAGUUUCCUUAUUUUGCAUUUUUAGGCUCACUUCAUUUUUUUUUUGCCAGUCAUAUAGUGUGAUGUGGUAUUAGUGUGAAAUGUGUAUAGUGUUAUGUGAUAAUUUAUUUACCUGUUCUCUUCUUUCAUUAUUAUGAUUGUUUCUUUCUUUAUUUAAAAGAUAGUAUUGGUAUAAACAUCACUAUGCACACAUCUUUUGUGCACUUAAGAAUUUGGGAAUGAUUCCUAGGUCAAGGAAACACAUGUAUUACAUUAAGAACAACUAUUAAAUAUGAGCUGGCAAAGAU